AUUGAACGCUGGCGGCAUGCUUUACACAUGCAAGUCGAACGGUAACAGGUCUUCAGAUGCUGACGAGUGGCGAACGGGUGAGUAAUGCAUCGGAACGUGCCCAGUCGUGGGGGAUAACGCAGCGAAAGCUGCGCUAAUACCGCAUACGAUCUAUGGAUGAAAGCGGGGGACCGUAAGGCCUCGCGCGAUUGGAGCGGCCGAUGUCAGAUUAGGUAGUUGGUGGGGUAAAGGCCCACCAAGCCAACGAUCUGUAGCUUGUCUGAGAGGACGACCAGCCACACUGGGACUGAGACACGGCCCAGACUCCUACGGGAGGCAGCAGUGGGGAAUUUUGGACAAUGGGCGCAAGCCUGAUCCAGCAAUGCCGCGUGCAGGAAGAAGGCCUUCGGGUUGUAAACUGCUUUUGUACGGAACGAAACGGCUCUCUCUAAUACAGAGGGCUAAUGACGGUACCGUAAGAAUAAGCACCGGCUAACUACGUGCCAGCAGCCGCAGUAA
rnacentral:rRNA from 1 species